ensembl:snoRNA
UGCCUUUAUGUGUUGCUCGUUCAUUGUUUGGUUGAUGAAUGUAGUGUCAGAAAAGGCAGACAUGAAAUCUGCAGGUGGUUUAUUAUGGGAAGCAUCUUUAUGCUUUUCCCUUCUGCCUUCAGAACAUUC